ACAUGCCUACAACAUAGUUUUAAUGCAUCUAAUCCCAUUAGAACUCCACAGUUAAGCAUGCUCGGUCUAGAGUAGUACUGGGAUGGGUCACCACUCGGGAAGUACUAGUAUUUUACAUGCC
rnacentral:rRNA from 1 species